rnacentral:tRNA from 1 species
GUCCGUGUAGCUCAGCUGGAUAGAGCAUCGCCCUCCUAAGGCGGGGGUCGGGGAUUCGAAUUCCUCCACGGACGCCA